rnacentral:rRNA from 1 species
GUAGGGAAUCUUCCACAAUGGGCGAAAGCCUGAUGGAGCAACGCCGCGUGAGUGAAGAAGGUUUUCGGAUCGUAAAACUCUGUUGUAAGGGAAGAACAAGUACAGUAGUAACUGGCUGUACCUUGACGGUACCUUAUUAGAAAGCCACGGCUAACUACGUGCCAGCAGCCGCGGUAAUACGUAGGUGGCAAGCGUUGUCCGGAAUUAUUGGGCGUAAAGCGCGCGCAGGCGGUCCUUUAAGUCUGAUGUGAAAGCCCACGGCUCAACCGUGGAGGGUCAUUGGAAACUGGGGGACUUGAGUGCAGAAGAGGAAAGUGGAAUUCCAAGUGUAGCGGUGAAAUGCGUAGAGAUUUGGAGGAACACCAGUGGCGAAGGCGACUUUCUGGUCUGUAACUGACGCUGAGGCGCGAAAGCGUGGGGAGCAAACAGGAUUAGAAACCCCUGUAGUCC